UAAAAGGGCGCGCAGGCAACGCGCUCUAUCCAGUUGAAAAGAGUGCGUUGUAAAGAACAGUCAUAAGCAGUCCGCUAAGAGAUUAGUAGCAACUACGAAGUGAAGUCGCAAACAUGUGCAAGGCUGUUGUAGAUUGUAAAGAAAGAAUGAAGGAUUGGAAGAGUGUGAGGAGACUCUGAGCAAACGGCCUUCAAAUCGAAAGUGGUGUGAGUCAUGCUGCCACCAGAUAUCCAUGCGAAAAGCCACCAGGCAUUGGUCACGGAGCACACUCGUUUCCUGCUCCUCGCACGUUAAUGGCAACGAUGAUGAGGAACGGAACACAAACAAGAAACUACGUCGCAGUGGGUCACUGAAUGAAUCCGCGUCCCGGUAGCAACAAUAGUUCGACUAUGGCUGGUACUGGUAAAGAAGAAUCCCGAAUCCGAUCGUCGCAGUGACGAUGACGUUGCGUUGUAGAGUUACUGAGUGAGUCUCAACGUCUGUCCGAGUCCCCCUACGUCCAACGCCAGGCACUGAGUUACGCAAACCAGCCGAUGGCCGAUUCUACACAGAUCGCCGGAGCAGGGAGCAGCAGCAGCAAACACCACCGAGUCUCCUUUGCAUGCCAAUGCCCAUGCAAUUCAGUCGCAGCGGACAGAACAUUGGGGACAAGGCGGAAUGCGCGCGGCAGCAGCUCCAGCUCGCAUCAGCUUACCUGCGUUUGAAGCUCUCGUUGCCAACCACCGACAAUCACCACCUAUUCUGCAUUGAACGCUUUGCAGCUGCUGAUCACCACCCACCCAUCCGCACAGAUACACGGUAUUUGGUAUAUCAGCUGCGAACAAAAUAUUGCUUUUUAAACAAAAUUCCAGAGAAAAGAACAGCGGAACAGAAAAUUUAUCAUCGAAACGACACUGAGGAACUGCUGUAAUCCUUUUGGGUGAACACCUUGUGGGAUUGUUAUUGUGAUAAACAAUUGAAUGGCAGUCGUCGAGUUUUUAUCUUUAUCUUUAUUCGCUCGGUACACUUUCCUGGACUUCUCUUUCACCGUUUAUGAUUUUGGCAAGCGAUUAUUGGACCCUUUGCAUUCAAACUCCCCAUAUUCCUAAUCAAUAGGCUAGAUAAGGCCGCUUAAAUCUUUGUAGCUGCAUGUCACAGUUGAUCGGUUCCUGUGGGUGCAUUUGUUUGAUGGGAUUACUUUGCCGUCUUCAAGUAUUCACGGUCUUGAGGGCACCAGACGAGGAUCUUCCAAGCAAAUUUAAACGGAAGCCGGCGUGAAAGAGUGUGUAGACUAGGCACGACCAUCACUUUUCGUUUUUUUUUUUUUUUUAGCGUUGCAUCGCAGUUGAUCGGUGCCUGCGGGCAUGUAUAAAUGGAACCUAGCGAGGCGGAAGCUUGAGCUCUUUAAUUCUAUGACCCCAAACAACGCUCCUGCGACAGCAAGCCUUCAAUUAGAAUAUGUGCAAAGAAGCAUAACUAAUCAACUGAACAAGCGUAAAAGCUAAGAUAAAUGCAACCGAUAUCUUUUCUUUCGUAUUUUGUAGAAAUACAUUUUCAUGGAGUGAUAAUCUACAGGGAAUACCACGUCGCCGCUAUGGUCCCGCCCAAUUCAUGUAAUUUUAUGUUUUUAUGUUCAAAAACAUUUUUUGUCUUGUAGCAUUAUGGCUGCAGUUGAAUGUACCUGCCCAUAAUUAAUGCCUGCAUAUCAAGAGUAAUUGAUGCUAAAACGCAACAGGGAAAACAUUCUGAACAUCGAACAGGGAACAUCGGCCUCUGUAAGGAAUGUGCAAUCGAUAUCCUUUUCUCUCGUAUUUUAUAGAAAUACAUGUUGUGGAACAGUUUAGAUGCUAUGGAAUUAUACCACGUAGUUGGACCACGACACAAAUUUAAUUUAAGUAUGGAGAAAAACGUUUUUCUGUUUUCAAGCUGUUGCCGUUGAAUGUGCCUGCCCACAUCUCAUCUAUAGCUUCUGAGUUAAUCCAACAGCGAACCGUCUAUUCUUGGGACCGCGUUUGAGAAAUGGUUGGAUCUUUACAUUGCUCAUUUAAUACUAAAGUUAAUCUUCUUUCCCAUUGACCUAGAAACUUAUUUAUGAAUUCAUUGCAGUUUUUAUAAUAAGACUUCGGUUUCAUGCAACCAGUCUUAUCAAUCACAUAGUUGACUCACCUGUGCACAUUUGCCUGUAUUGAAACCAACCGAGAACAUGUAGCAAAAUUUCUUGAGGCAAUGGGAAUCAAAUGCCAACUUGAAAGCAAUAACACCAACACUAAGUCGUCGCAGUCCAACAUCCAUACUACACGUCGAAUUCGAAUUGAUGCCGCUGGUCAGGUCUGAACCCAACUAGAACCCGCUUACACCUGUUUUUCAGCAAUUUUUCUGGCCAGGAUGUGGAUUAUUUCUAACAGAAACUUCGUUUGUCUUGAGCAUCGCUAAGAUUGGCCGUUUGACCCUUCCAAAAGUGAGAUUCUAAGCAGCCUUAAAUUUAUUUUACAAUUCUUACAGCGGUGCCGCACAGUUGAGUGUGCCUGUGGGCAUCGAUUAAGCAAUAUUUGAUCCGAAGGGCAGGGCAGUGGAACGUUCCGUUGAUGAAGAUGUGCGCCGCUCCGAGCUGGCUAAGUCUACUGCUGUGCUGCUGCAAAUCGUUAAAGGGAACCCAAAACGAUGCAUCAAGUCCAUCCAGUUAGCCUUCUCUUCCUAAGCACAGCUCACCUGCGCUACAACGACAAUCAAUUCAAGCGCACCUGCUUCUGCAAGCGAGCACAACGUCAAAUGAGCAUCGAGCACAGAAAGCAAGCAAACAACCAGGUUAAUGGCAUCCUCUGCUGACAAUGAACUUUACGCCUUUACAUUGCAGCCAAGAAGCCUCUUAGUGCAUAUUCAACUACCAGCACAGAGCUUCUCAAUGACUGGAGUAAGCAUUGUUAUAACCGCAUCGGGUCCUGACCGAGUCCGACUUGGGUGCCUCUGGCCGCAAGAUCUACAUUGGGACAGAGCCAGAAUAGGAGCGCUUAUCUCGCGCAAUGAUGUGCUGAGCUGAACCUAUGCACGUACUGCAUUGCACCGCACAGAUAUGUGCGUUCGGUCCACGCUAAAGGGAAUCAAAUGCGUUUGGACCGAGAGCCGAUACACCGCACCAUCACCAGUAUUCGCUGUGAAGUGAGCUGAUGUGUUGUCGUUGUUACAGGGCUGCUGCUGCAACUGCGCCACAGGUAUCCUCGCCUAGCGUCGGUAACUAUCAUUUGUCAAUUUCAGCGGCCGGCAGUGUACAUCAAACAUUGAAGUCCGGAGGCCGGAGUGGCAUGUCAUUUACGGCAGUUGUGAAACCAGCAAUUGGUGCUCAAGCAUUCGAUUUCAAAUCUGAAGAAUGAAGACUAUCGACGCAGACUUCCAGAAUGGAGCGCACGAAGGACAAAGCACUUCGAUCACCAGCGGGUUGUCGUUUUACUUGCACUUUCCUUCCGUAGGUAGCCCAGAAUUCGAGAAAACCCAUAUCCAUCGCAAAGGGAAACAAAUGCGAUUAGUGUUUGAAGACCAACCUGGGUGUGCAAUGUGUCGCACCAAGAUUAGCCAGUUGAGCC